GAGUUUAAAUAAUAAUACAAGAAAAAAAAAAUCUUACACGUAGUAAUAAUACAUUUUUUUUUUUUUAUUUCAAACGUUAUUUUAUUAUAUAGGUCAAAGUCAUUGUCAUAAAAAAUAAAAUAAAAAAACAUAUUCAAUAUUAUAUUUUUACACAUUAGUAAUACCUAUUAAAACGUAACACAAAUCGCUUUAAUAUUAUAUUCAGGGGCGUAUCCAGGAAUUUUUUCGGCGUGGGGGAGGCUGAUCAGUUACAUAUUAUAUUACGACAUAGCGCAAAUAAAUUAUUUUAAAAAAGCUAUAUUUAAAAUAAUAAUUUGAAAUCUCUCGAAACUUGGGGGUGGCGGCAGCCUCCUCAGCUGCCUGGAUACGCCACCGACUUUAUCCAGUGUUUUGAAUAUUAGCGAUGGCAUGCCGUAUUAUAAUAUUCAGUUACGAUCCAUAUUAGACUUGGUCAGUGUCGGGAAAGACAGGAAUAACGAAUAUUUAUUUGAUCUAGAUGACAGCUCCGUUGACAUAUUUUGUUACCAAACGAUGAUGAUUUUACUAUUGAGACUCUUACCGACGGUUACCGUGCUACCUGCAAGGCCAUUAUUAAGAUAAAUGAUCAUGAAUCAUUUUGCACAUCAUCUCGUGAAAUCUACAUUACACCACACUCGUACGGUGGUGUGAAUUUCGAACAGAUAUUCGGAUUAAAUUAACGCGGUGACGAUUUGAAAUGGGUUUGAACCCCAUUAUCGCGAAUGCCUUAGGAAAUACACAACAAAUAACUUAGAAGUACAAUGAAAAUAUCGUUUUAUUUUACUUUGGUUUUUCUUUUUUAGAUAUUUUUAUUGUAUGAUAUCGAUACUAAUUGAUUCCGUUACUUCCAAAAUGUUAUUAUUAUUGUUAUUGUUAAUCGUCGUAUUAUCAAACUGAUGAACGACGUUGCCGGUUGUCGCGGGCUGCAGAAUCUCGUCUACUGACCCAUCAACUUCUUCUACUGUUGACGUUUUACGGGCUGUUUAAACCCUACGCCACAAUCACCGAUUAUCUUCUUAACUCCCUCUCAUUCGGUAUUUGUCCUCUAUUUUAUAAUAAGCGAUCAUAUUAUCUCUUCAUGCCCACGGGCCUUCGUCUUAGUCGUUUUGUGUUCAAUUUCCACGUUGUGGCCAAUGUGGGCCCUUCUCAUCAACGUACAUGACCUACGUACUAUAACUAAGCCUGUUAUAGUAUACGCCUCAGGCUUGUUAUUGUAACAGCUCGGUACGGUUUUCUGUUUCCCGGUUCGUCCUUAUCUCGUAUCCUCCUUGGACGUUUCGUAUUAGGCCGUAUCGCGCCCGUAUCUAUAGCAUAAUAUACCGAACGAAAAUUAUUAUUAUAUUCGUGUCGAACAACGACGUGGUGUCAAGGAACCACGUGGUGUCAAGUGACCACGGGGUACAACGGUAGACCGCUUCCUCGUAGUGCAC